CGAUUUCACCGCGCUGCUUUACAAUUUACAGCAGUAAUAAUCAGUAUUUUUGUACUCCUCUCCCAAACCUUUGCCACUGCCCUUAAUCUCAUUAUACUCCCCCCAAAUUCAAUUCUAGGGUUUAUUAUUUCCCCGAGAUGUCGAAACGAAAAUUCGGAUUCGAGGGCUUCGGCAUUAAUCGCCAAGCCACGUACAACUUCGAGCGAUCCCAACCGCCUCAACGAUUAUAUGUCCCUCCUUCCUCUCGCGGCGGUGGCGGGGAUGACGACGCCGACCUUGACAAUAUUGAAUACGCCGAGGACCGUGACACGUUAGACGACGAUGUCCCUAACAACAACAACAACAACAACGGGGCUGCCGCUGAUGAAGACGAAAUUGAUCCUCUGGACGCUUUUAUGGAAGGACUGCAGGAGGAGAUGAAGUCUGCGCCGCCACCAAAGGCGAAGGAGAAGUUGGAUAGAUACAAGGACGACGUGGAAGACGAUCCAAUGGAGAGCUUUCUGAAGGCGAAGAAGGAUGUGGGGCUGCAAUUGGCUGCAGAUGCGCUGCACGCAGGAUAUAAUUCAGACGAAGAGGUUUAUGCUGCUGCAAAGGCGGUGGAUGCAGGGCUGAUUGAAUAUGAUUCUGAUGAUAAUCCUAUUGUUCUUGAUAAGAAGAAGAUUGAGCCGAUUCCCGCCCUUGAUCACAGCUUAAUUGAUUACGAGCCAUUUAAUAAGGAUUUCUAUGAGGAGAAGGCUUCCAUUUCAGGUAUGAGUGAUCAGGAGGUUGCCGAAUACAGGAAGAGCUUAGCUAUCCGUGUUUCGGGUUUUGAUGUGCCACGGCCCAUCAAGACUUUUGAAGAUUGUGGAUUUUCUGUGGAGCUAAUGAAAGCCAUAGCAAAACAAGCAUAUGAAAAACCCACACCAAUACAGUGCCAAGCUUUACCUAUUGUGCUUUCUGGAAGAGACGUAAUUGGUAUAGCAAAGACUGGUUCAGGAAAAACUGCUUCAUUUGUACUUCCUAUGGUUGUCCAUAUUAUGGAUCAACCUGAACUUCAGAAAGAGGAAGGCCCCAUUGGAGUGAUAUGUGCACCUACUAGGGAACUAGCUCAUCAAAUAUACUUAGAAGCUAAGAAAUUUGCCAAAGCCUAUGGUAUCCGUGUCUCUGCAGUUUAUGGUGGAAUGUCUAAGCUCGAGCAGUUCAAGGAACUAAAGGCAGGAUGUGAAAUAGUCGUGGCUACUCCAGGGAGACUGAUAGACAUGAUAAAAAUGAAGGCACUGACAAUGUUGAGAGCAACUUAUUUAGUACUUGAUGAGGCGGACCGAAUGUUUGACCUUGGUUUUGAGCCACAGAUAAGGUCGAUAGUUGGCCAAAUAAGGCCAGACCGCCAGACAUUGCUCUUUUCAGCAACUAUGCCUCGAAAAGUUGAAAAGCUAGCUAGUGAAAUUCUCUCUGAUCCUGUAAGGGUAACUGUAGGAGAGGUGGGUAUGGCCAAUGAGGAUAUUACCCAAGUUGUUCAAGUGAUUGCAUCAGAUACAGAAAAACUGCCUUGGCUGCUUGAAAAGCUUCCUGGCAUGAUCGAUGAAGGGGAUGUUCUGGUUUUUGCUUCAAAAAAGGCCACGGUAGAUGAAGUUGAAUCAGAACUUGUGCAGAAGGGUUUUAAAGCUGCAGCACUUCAUGGUGACAAAGAUCAGGCUUCUCGUAUGGAGGUACUGCAAAAGUUCAAAUCUGGAACAUACCAUGUCCUUAUUGCAACAGAUGUUGCCGCACGCGGUCUUGACAUCAAGUCAAUUAAAUCUGUGGUCAACUUUGAUAUUGCUAAAGACAUGGACAUGCAUGUACACCGAAUUGGAAGGACAGGUCGUGCUGGAGACAAAGAUGGAACUGCAUAUACUCUUAUAACACAAAAGGAGGCGAGAUUUGCUGGUGAAUUGGUUAACAGUUUGAUAGCUGCUGGUCAAAACGUGUCGACGGAGCUCAUGGAUCUGGCUAUGAAGGAUGGAAGGUUCAGAUCCAAACGUGAUUCACGAAAAGGAGGUGGGAAAAGAGCUAAAGGAAGAGGAGGUGGUGGUAGAGGUGUUAGGGGUGUGGACUAUGGUUUGGGCAUCGGGUAUAGUCCAGACUCAAAUGCUGCAUCCAGUGUCACUCCUACUCGUUCUGUAGCAGUUAAUUCACUGAGGACUGGGAUGAUGGCACAAUUCAGAAACAACUUUGUUCCUGCAUCAUCAAACUCCCAGAAUCAUUUUGUACAGAACAGUACAGGCGUACAAACCAAUAAAAGAAUGGUUUUACCUGGGUUUGUAUCAGGUGGGACAAUUGGUGGUGACAUGCAUGCUGUACAAAUAAACAGUACAACCAGUGCUGCUUCUGCAUCAAACACUAUCUUGAAUUCAAGAGAAAUUGCAAAACAAACCCCCUCUGAAAGAGAUAAAGCAAGAGAAAGAAGGAGACCCUCUGGCUGGGAUCGCUAGUACGUAGAGGAAUGAGAUGUUUGUCCAUAGAAGCAAACUGUGUUUUGGCUAAGUUCCAUUGAUGCUGUUGUAUCUGUAUUGAUGGCCUGUCUGGAGGGGUUAUAUGGGCUUCUGGCAUAAAUCAUUAGGUAAUUGAACUCCGCAAGUAGGAAUGGCUAUCAAAGUUAUUUGCUUCACAAGAAUGAACAUGGUUCUACGAUAUUUCUACAAUUGUCAUUGAAACGGGCUUCUGCAUCCAGUCUGAGUAUGAAGACUUGUUAAGGAGCUUCUUUAACCAAGUUUGUUGGUCACAUUGAUUAAUCUUUGGGAAGGUGAAAGUACGUAUGAUAUUUGGUAAAUCUUUAUUAAGGCGAAAUGUGUGGUGAUUGUGGAGCUAGGGCAACGGUUUGCCUUAGUCAUCUAUAAGGCUUUAGAUACUGAACUGAAUGCCGUUUAUAUGCUUGGGAGUGAAGGAAUUAAAUGCUACAGUUAUGUAUGGGAUUGGAAUGGUGUGUGCUUCAACAUCGCUGGUAACAUGUGAACUAACAGCGAUGUUUGUGUAUUGCUCUCCUAAUUGAGCAUUAUUCUAUACUCUAAUAAUACAACAUUGAGGAGUAUUAGACUUUA